AAAGAUGACGUCGGUGUUAGUCAGAGAUAUGUCAAUAAUGACGAGUUACUCAUGUCUCCGCCCUAACAAUGGAAGUCGUUCCAAAGGCAGUGAGGCAGGCAACAAGUUUAAGUUUGCAUAUUAAACGCACAGAAAUGCAUUGGUCUUAUUUUGGUGAGAGUGAACCCUCUCGCUUCACUUCUUCCUCGUUGCUUUAGUCCUGCUUGCAACAAAGGUCUUUCAAGAUAAAUUAUUUACCCUCUGGUUGGUAUCGUCAUCGGAACAAUUUAGUCCUUUUUUAACAGACUAAGGUUGAUUGAUAUAUUUUACAAGCAUGGAAAAUCUACUGUGGCAAUUUACCCAACACUUUGUAUGAAUGGAAACUGACAUUGGUGUACUGUUAUUUAAUUUGUUUACUAUUUAUGUUUUCCAAAAGUGUAUGGUAUGAUCAUUUCUCAAGAUUAGGGGUAAAAUGACCUUGGACUGUCCUUCAUUUUUUAAAUGUGUAACUUUCUAGAGUCAAUCGGGAGAUUAUGUUAUUCCGCUAGACAACGCCAGAUCGUCCACCCAUGACAGCAGAAUCCUUGACAAUGCUGGAAAGGGGGGCAUAUGAAGGCCACCUACUCGGUGACAAUGGAUAUGCCUGUCGUGGGUACCUUAUGACUCCCCUUUUAAAACCCCAGACAUCUGAAGAGAGAGAAUUACAACCCCUCUCAUAUCCUGGCAAGAAGUCUCAUAUAGAGAGUUUUUGGGAGUGUGGAAAAAAGAUUCCCCUGCCUAAAGGAGGGGCUCCGCACGAAGAUGGACACUAACAUGACAAUCAUUAUUGCAGUGGCGGUUCUGUAUAACUUUGGCAAGAGACAAGGAGAUGAGUCACCUGAGGAGGACCUACCUGAGGAGAAUGAGGAAGAUGGCCAGGUGCAAAAUGCUGCCAAUGCAAAUGAGAAUGCUGUGAGGAGAACCUUGAUUGAGAACCAUUUUGCAGCCAAAGGGUGGAACUGGAAGCAUCAGAACACAAGAGUGGGGACAAGACUGGAGGACACAAAAUAGCUUGGGAAAGCAUUUGUUUUGAUAAAUUAUUGUUUAAAUAAAUAAAAAGAUCAGCAUUCUUUACACAGUGGGCAUUUGUUACUCUGCAGGAGUUUCUGUUUCUGAAUUUGCAGUAGCUCUUUUUGUAAAUUCAGGACCUCAAUGUGCAGUAGAUUUUUCUGCACAUCUAUCACUCCAGUGUUAAUAAUGCUAAAUUGUAAUUAUUUCAGCACUAUGACCUAUUUAUUGCCUUUCUUCCCUAAUUCGAACAAACUGUAUAUAUAUUUUUCUAUUGUGUUUUGUUUGUUUUGUAAUUGUGUUUGUUUAUCCCAUGUGUAACUCCGUGUUGUUUGUGUCGCACUGCUUUGCUUUGUGUGCUGCCAUCCUGUUAGACGGUAACAGAUUAUUUUAUUACGAUGGUUAAAUUGGAUUUUCAUUGUGUUCAAUGGUGUAAUUUGCCCCCUAGUGGCGCUUUCUUGUACUUAGAAUGACGGCGCAAACAGGAAGUACAGAAUUUGUUUUGCACGCAUAGAGCAGCUACAAACAACGCUACGUUGCAGGUCUUUCAAUGUAGUUAUUUCUUGUCAUGCUUCAGCCUUGGAAAAAUAUUUGUUUGUAAGUUCGAUUCAAGCAUUUAGCUAAUGAUGAUAAUCUUGUUAUUGAUAGAGUUGCUUACAUAUCAAUGUUGGUUGCAUUUACUCACAAAUUGCAAUGCCUUUAAUGUAUGUCGUUAGCUGUAUUACUUUGCUCAUGCGUCAUGCAAACUAAUUGUAAAAUAUACAAUACUGUAGGUUUGUUACUGUUUCUAGUGUAAUAUGCUUUGUUAUUCUACAUAGAUUAUUAUUAUACAUUAUUAGAGUAAUGAAAGGAGCCAAUUACCAUAUGGUUAACAAGUAGCUAUAUGGUUUGGCAUCAUGCCAGAUGCAUGGUACCUUAGCGCGUACUUUGUAUUUAUGCAACUUCAAAUGUUUAAUGUACAGCUACAGUAUGUCGGUGUGAAUUGAACACUAAAGUAUAUUCUUUUCUGUAUUUUGCAGUUUCACAACAUAAACGUUUUGCAAUAUAUUCAUUCAAGAAAAGUCACGCCUUGGGAGUUUUAUUGAAGACUUAGUUGUUAGCUAUCUGUCUAGUUUUGCAUGGGAACGCAAUUCAAGGGCAGAAUACUUUGUCUUGGUAGGAUGGUCAGUUUUACAAGGGUAUGUUUGGCAGCAUGAGUGAAGGAUGCUUUGUUGCAAAAAAGGAAGCCAAUUCUAGAUUUAACUUUGGAUUGGAGAUGUUUGAUAUGGGUCUGGAAGGAGAGUUUACAGUCUAACCAGACACCUAAGUAUUUGUAGUUGUCCACGUAUUCUAAGUCAGAGCCGUCCAGAGUAGUGAUGUUGGACAGGCGGGCAGGUGCAGGUAGCGAUCGGUUGAAGAGCAUGCAUUUAGUUUUACUUGUAUUUAAGAGCAAUUGGAGGCCACGGAAGGAGAGUUGUAAUGGCAUUGAAGCUUGCCUGGAGGGUUGUUAACAUUGUCCAAAGAAGGGCCAGAAGUAUACAGAAUGGUGUCGUCUGCGUAGAGGUGGAUCAGAGACUCACCAGCAGCAGAGCGACAUCAUUGAUGUAUACAGAGAAGAGAGUCGGUCCAAGAAUUGAACCCUGUGCCACCCCCAUAGAGACUGCCAGAGGUCCGGACAGCAGACCCUCCGAUUUGACACACUGAACUCUAUCAGAGAAGUAGUUGGUGAACCAGGUGAGGCAAUCAUUUGAGAAACCAUCUUCUGGGAUAGAGGAUCAAUUACAUUGGACAGAGGCCCCCCCCUCCGGUCUGAAUUAGCCUCCGCCUCUCCUCUGCCACAUUCUUUUUGGCUUUCACUUUGAAGUUUUUCCAGCACAUCUUCAUCCGAUUUGGGUCCAUCUCUUUAAUCUGUGUCGAUUCAUUAAAUCUUCUUUCUUUUUGA